rnacentral:rRNA from 1 species
AACGAACGCUGGCGGCGCGUCUUAAGCAUGCAAGUCGAACGGCAAGGAAGAAGCUUGCUUCUUUCCUAGAGUGGCGGACUGGUGAGUAACGCGUGGGUAAUCUGCCUUUAAGAUGGGGAUAGCCGCUAGAAAUAGCGGAUAAUACCGAAUACACUUCAAGCUUCAAAAGGAGCAUGAAGGAAAGGAAGCUAAGGCUUCGCUUAAAGAUGAGCCUGCGUCCCAUUAGCUAGUUGGUAAGGUAACGGCCUACCAAGGCGACGAUGGGUAUCCGGCCUGAGAGGGUGAUCGGACACAUUGGGACUGAGAUACGGCCCAAACUCCUACGGGAGGCAGCAGCUAAGAAUAUUCCGCAAUGGACGGAAGUCUGACGGAGCGACGCCGCGUGGAUGAAGAAGGCUGAAAAGUUGUAAAAUCCUUUUGUUGAUGAAGAAUAAGGGGAAGAGGGAAUGCUUCUCUGAUGACGGUAAUCGGCGAAUAAGCCCCGGCUAAUUACGUGCCAGCAGCCGCGGUAACACGUAAGGGGCGAGCGUUGUUCGGAAUUAUUGGGCGUAAAGGGCAUGUAGGCGGUUGUAUAAGCCUGAUGUGAAAUCCUGAGGCUUAACCUCAGAAUAGCAUUGGGUACUGUAUAGCUUGAAUUACGGAAGGGAAACUGGAAUUCCAAGUGUAGGGGUGGAAUCUGUAGAUAUUUGGAAGAACACCGGUGGCGAAGGCGGGUUUCUGGCCGAUAAUUGACGCUGAGAUGCGAAAGUGUGGGGAUCGAACAGG